rnacentral:tRNA from 1 species
GCCACCGUAGCUCAGUUGGCAGAGCAGCGCUUUCGUAAAGCGCAGGUCGUCGGUCCGAGUCCGACCGGUGGCU